rnacentral:rRNA from 1 species
CCGAGUUAUUCAACUCAUCAACCCUGUGAACAUACCUAAACGUUGCUUCGGCGGGAAUAGACGGCCCCGUGAAACGGGCCGCCCCCGCCAGAGGACCCUUAACUCUGUUUCUAUAAUGUUUCUUCUGAGUAAAACAAGCAAAUAAAUUAAAACUUUCAACAACGGAUCUCUUGGCUCUGGCAUCGAUGAAGAACGCAGCGAAAUGCGAUAAGUAAUGUGAAUUGCAGAAUUCAGUGAAUCAUCGAAUCUUUGAACGCACAUUGCGCCCGCCAGUAUUCUGGCGGGCAUGCCUGUUCGAGCGUCAUUACAACCCUCAGGCCCCCGGGCCUGGCGUUGGGGAUCGGCGGAGCCCCCCGUGGGCACACGCCGUCCCCCAAAUACAGUGGCGGUCCCGCCGCAGCUUCCAUCGCGUAGUAGCUAACACCUCGCGACUGGAGAGCGGCGCGGCCACGCCGUAAAACACCCAACUCUUCUGAAUGACCUCGAAUCAGGUAGGAAUACCCGCUG